UUGUAAGUUAGGGGAAUACUUCAUGCUUUGAUGUUACAUCCAGUGGUUUCACAGCGCUGCGCCUUUGAUAAGGAAAAGCGAGGUGCUUUAUUAUUAAAAGAGGUUAAAAAUCAUCUCAUAUGUAGAUAAUAAAAGGGUUAAGCCGUAGAUUUUUUAACCCUGGCAAGUUUUUUCUUUUUUUUUUCCUUUUAACUCCUGCAAUGAAAAUGCAGCCGCUCCCUCACUUGCAGCGCUGCCUUGAGAAAAAAAGAAUAAUAGCAAUCAUUGUCUAACAGGCGAGGCAAGUCAUGAAUCUUAAGUGGGCAGCCGGGACGAAGGCUGCAGACUCCAGGGGAACCUUGCUGUUGUUCCCUUGGCUGCAGCCGGAGCUCCACUUGAUGAUGUAUUAAUCAAUAAAUAAAAGGGAAAUCCCUAAUAGGCCUCUGGUAAAGACUGGAGGAGCACAGUGAAGCUCCGUCUCAUAAUGAAGAUGUAAAUACACAGGAGAGGCAAUGCACAAGAUCUCGGAUUUUUAAACAAGAGUUUAAAAGAAGAUGGAGAAGAGAGAUGCAGAGAGAUGGACUUACACUCAGCAGCUAAGCAGAGCUGACAUGAAAGCAGAUAAAAAGUUAAAUGUUUUGAUCUAAGUUAAUAAAGUUGAAAACUGGAUUUUUUCACUCUCACAAAGUAGUGUAGUUCUUGACUAUCUUUGAAGUCAAAUAAAAAUAUUGCAGACUAAAAACUAUGGAUGACCAGGAAGUCACGAAAAGCCAACCAGAAAAAGAUGUCCCUUCAUAAAGGACUGAAGUUCUACAUUCCAAUCUGUAUUAUUUCUGCUCGGUCACUACAGUUUUUCCCUCCUCCUUACUGGCCUCACAGCUGCUGUUCUGAGCCUGUGGUCUUUUUACAAGUAAUUAGUCCAAUUGAUUGUGUUCUGUUUACAUGCUCUACUAUAGGCCAUUAGGAAAAAAAAAACAAACAAAAAACAGGCCGAACACAUUGAGGGCAGCUUGCAAAAAUCCACCCACAGGAAAAGAAGCACUGAGGAAAGUGGGAGCAGUUCAUUAGCAAGUUAAAUCAGAUGUUAAACAGUAGGGGUUGAUUACAUGUUGAUACAAUCGACUGUAUUAAAUAUGGACGACACGAAAGCUCACCAAAUGCAAAGUCAAAACAUCUGUAUCGCCCCCUGGUGGUUGACUGCAGUACAGCCCAUAAAUCCCUCCUGCUUCAUGUUAGCAAAUGGGACACGAGCCAAACUGAAAAUGCAAGGAACAUGACGGCUAAAUUUUCCCCAGAGAGGUAGGCAGUUCUUAUCACGCUGAUGUUUGUUCAAGUGUUCAUUUUUCUGAUCAGUUUGGUUAUCAUUAUUUGAUGGCAUAAAAAGAGGUUGAAACAUGACUGACAGCUGAGUGCUGCUUCUGAAUGGCUCAGACGGGUAUGUGGGCAGGAACUCAAUACUGAUCAAACUUAAGGGAUCUUCGGCUCUGGGGAUGUCAGUUUUUCAUUUGGUCCUGACUGAAACAUCUCAACAUCUGUUGGAUUGCCAUGAAAUUUAUGGUCCCAAGAGGAAGAGCCCCAAUUAUUUUGGUGGAUAUCUGAUGUUAAAUUUAGAGCCGCAAUCAGGUCACAGUUUAAAUGCACAAUACUUAAAUUACUCAAAGCAACACUAGUGAAAAUCCAAAUUUCAGUUCCAGUUCAUUUACUUGAUGCCCUUUGUUUGUUAAGCCAAAGUGCCUGACUGAAAGUUUCUUUCAUAUAUUAGCAUCCUAAUUAGAGAAAACAAAACACACGACACAUGCUGUCUGUUAGCCUUAUUCCUAUUUCCAUCAAUAUCAGGUUGACAGCUGCAGUUCUCCCUGAAGCCCUGCAUCUUUUACAUGGUUCAGUGUGAGGUCGCUCAGCCAGAAACCCUGUCCUUCUCAUUCUCCAUCUUUUUGAUAUUUAAUUCACCCAAUUAGAUUAUUUCUGCCCCUGAGAGAUGUUUGAAUAACAAAUAAACCAAUCUGUCUGUGUUUGCAGAAUUUUCUGUCUGUGUUUAAAUCCAUGUCAGUCUGUAUGGAUGAGAGAACAGCCUCUCACUGCGUUUGUGUAUGUGUGAGCUUUGAUGGGAGGGGAUGUCGGACAUCAUUCGCCACUAUGUGCUGUGUUUGUCCAUCAAUCGUCCGUCUGUCAGCUUCAGGCCCUCCAUCUGUCUGCAUGUCCCUCCAGCCUGAGUGUCUGGAUCAUUCCCAGCCUGCUUCACUCGGUGUAUGAAACAGCCAAUUACGGGGACCAGACUGGUCCAGCGACUGGGUUUUUGUGCCAGUCCAAGUGCAGGCAACCUUGGGUGAGAACCUGAGUUUUCUUUCAGCUUUAAAUAAGGCAUAAGCAGUACAGACAUUGUUGUGAUAAAACAAUGAACCAUCAAAAAGACCGAGUUUGCCUCACUUUCUUCCCGAGCCUCAAUGCCAUAUCAAAAGGAUCAGAUGUUGUCAGAUCACAGAGCGACACUUCUAAAAAAAGAGAGGAGACUGACAAAGACGUAUCUGAACACACUGGACCGCGAGGAGCAGCAGCUGGUGGGGGAUGAUUUCUCGGAAAGUGUCAGUGCUUUAACAGUUGUCAAAGCUGAAUAAUAUGCUGUUCAUUAGCAUAUCUGUGUUGUUUGUGUCUUAUUAAACCAGUUGAACCAUGGAAAGUUAUCACAAACAGGACUUGCUGCUUACGAAUUUAUUCUUAUUUAAGUCAGAUAGUUUAAGAUGUCUUCUGUGAGUUUUUGACAGUUUCCUAAAUUCCUAAGAUUUCUCAUACAUCCUUAAAUGGAAAAACUGAAGAUUUUCAUCCAACAGACAGCCUUUUUGUGUUUUCAAUUACAUUUUUUACUCAGUUUUUUUCGCCAUACAUUAUCCUGUCCGACAAUAUGACAUAGAAGUGACAUUCUAACGUACUCAUAAAGCUGAGAGAUGCUGAGUAAAUGUAUCAGU